AGAGUUUCAUCCUGGCUCAGGAUGAACGCUAGCGGCAGGCUUAACACAUGCAAGUCGAGGGGCAGCGGGUGUAGCAAUACAUGCCGGCGACCGGCGCAAGGGUGCGUAACGCGUGAGCAAUCUGCCCGUAUCAGGGGGAUAAGCGAUGGAAACGUCGUCUAAUACCGCAUAACACCAAUGAUGGCAUCAUCGAUGGUUGAAAGCUUCGGUGGAUACGGAUGAGCUCGCGAGACAUUAGUUAGUUGGCGGGGUAACGGCCCACCAAGACCGCGAUGUCUAGGGGAACUGAGAGGUUGGUCCCCCACACUGGAACUGAGACACGGUCCAGACUCCUACGGGAGGCAGCAGUGAGGAAUAUUGGACAAUGGCCGGAAGGCUGAUCCAGCCAUGCCGCGUGAAGGAAUAAGGUCCUAUGGAUUGUAAACUUCUUUUGUACGAGAGCAAUAAGUGUCACGAGUGACACGAUGAGAGUAUCGUACGAAUAAGCAUCGGCUAACUCCGUGCCAGCAGCCGCGGUAAUACGGAGGAUGCGAGCGUUAUCCGGAUUUAUUGGGUUUAAAGGGUGCGUAGGCGGGAUUUUAAGUCAGCGGUGAAACGCAAGGGCUCAACCCUUGACCUGCCGUUGAAACUGGAGUUCUUGAAUGCGGAUGCUGUGGGAGGAAUGUGUGGUGUAGCGGUGAAAUGCAUAGAUAUCACACAGAACACCGAUUGCGAAGGCAUCUCACAAAUCCGUGAUUGACGCUGAGGCACGAAAGUGUGGGGAUCAAACAGGAUUAGAUACCCUGGUAGUCCACACUGUAAACGAUGAUAACUCGCUGUCGGCGAUACACAGUCGGGGGGCCAAGCGAAAGCGAU
rnacentral:rRNA from 1 species